GCUCCCCUAAUUUAUUUUUUCUCUUCCCUCACAAAUCAAAUCGUAACAAAUGUAAGACUGCACUACUGCUGAAUUUUUAGCUUCUCUUCUCUCUCUAAUGGAGGGCCGUUUCAAACUAAUCUGUCGGCGAAAGAAUUUAUUAAUCAUAUUGGUUUAAACAUGGUAAUUACCAAUUAGUGGCAAUAAAUAUGGUUUAUUAGUAUUAAAUAUUAUAUUACUUACCCUUUUCUGUUGCUUAAUAUUGUGCAUGGAGAAAAAAAGAAAAAAAAAAUCUGUCAUUUCUUACUUACCAAAUAUAUAAUUUUCUUUCGUGUCCUAUAUAAAUUAAUGUUAUCAGUCUUGUGUCAUUUGUAUAUAAUUAAUGCUUAUUAUUCAGUUUUUACAGAAAUUUUGCCCCUCUCUUUUUGUGGUGUGCUUCUUCUUGCUCUUUCUUCUCUUCUCCUUAUUGGGUACAGUUCUGUUUCUAUCUGUUGCUGUUUUGGCAUUAGACUCUGUUCUUUGUCUCCUGCAGAGGCUUUUUAUCCAUGAAGAUGCCAGUAAGUACGUUUUAUGUUUGUCUCUUUUAAUUUUUUCAAUCUGGGUUUUGAACUUUUCUGUUCUUUCUAUGUUCUUGCUAAAUCUGGAAGCUUUGUAUUUUGAUGGCUUGAAUUCUAUGAUUAUUUGUGAUUGAUUGAAGAUUCUUUAAAGUACCAUAUUUGAUUACCUUUCUGGACUUUUCAUUUCUUGCUACCAGUCUAUAAUCUAUAUCGCCAAUGGCUAUCAUACAGAAUUCACUUCAUUUUUACUGUUUUUGCACGCUUAUCUCUUUGCUUUUUUUUUUUCUUUGAAAGUGAUGAGUUGUUUGGGUAUCAUGUAAAAUGGAAUUCUCAUUCCCCUUCUUGUUCUUGGGUGACGCUGAAUUCCAUCUUGAAUAGUGUGUUUUUAUUUUUGUUGGUUUUCCUAUGUUCCUGCACUUUUUAUCAGCUUUGCUUUCAUUGGAUUCUAUACCUUUUCAACUUUUUAUAUGUUGGUUUAUUUACUGCAUUACUUUCCUUGCUUUUGGAGUUACCAAACCAUACCUCAGCUUUUCACAUUUCAGCUGGUUAAUUUGUUAUAUUAAAUUAUGGUCGCUCACCAUCUCUCCUUUUAUUAUUUUUUUCCCAAGAAAGUUCAUUGCUUCCUAUUUUAACUAAUGGUGAUCCCUUAUAUUCGAUUGUUUUUACUUGAAGUUAAUAUCUUCAAUAUUUAGUGUAUUUGAUUUUUUUUUUCAGAUGUGCAGUAUUUGUUACCUCCAUUUGGAAUUAUUCAACAGCAUGGGCGACAUUUGUUUUGGUUUCUGUGUUUGUACUCUCUUGCUGGUCUUUUUUUAGCAUUUUACUCAACCGUGAUUCGUAGCUUCUGUUAGUCCACCAGAGAAGGAUGACAAAAUUGGACUUCCCAUCUUGUCCUUCUUAUGGAAUUAUCAUUGUUUUCUAUUUCUGUUUCAAAGUUCUCUUUUUCUUUUUAAUGUUAUUGUGUUAUUUGUUGCACCAUUGCAUCUUGAGUACAGAGUCUGUUUUGAGAAUGUUUUUUCACACUAUUUCAGGUGGCAUUGCUCUUGCUGCUGGCUCUAAGCAAUGCUAUUGGAAUUAAUGGAGAAAAGAGCAGUGGACAGUGUGAUUAUAAGCCUAGUUUAGACCCAAGACCACAUAGUGUGUCCAUUCUUGAAUUUGGUGCAGUUGGAGAUGGGAAAACAUUAAAUACAAUUGCCUUCCAGAAUGCUAUUUUCUAUCUCAAGUCCUUUGCUGAUAAGGGUGGUGCUCAGCUUUACGUGCCACCAGGAAAAUGGCUCACUGGAAGUUUCAAUCUUACCAGCCAUCUCACACUUUUCCUGGAAAAAGGAGCUGUUAUUCUUGGAUCUCAGGAUCCAUCUCGUUGGGAUGUAGUAGAACCCUUGCCUUCAUAUGGUCGUGGGAUUGAACUUCCUGGAAAAAGAUAUCGAAGUCUAAUAAAUGGAUAUAAGCUGCUUGAUGUGGUGAUAACAGGUAGUGUGUCAGGAAUUUCAUUUCCACCCUUUCUGCCUCUGAUUUUUUUCUUUGGUCUCUAUCAUGGAUUAUCUUACAUUUUAAUAACUGUUAUAGGUGAUAAUGGAACCAUUGAUGGCCAGGGCUCAGUUUGGUGGGAUUCGUUCAAUUCUCAUUCUUUGAACUACAGCCGGCCUCAUCUUGUGGAGUUUAUAGAAUCUGAACGUCUGGUGGUUUCAAAUCUUACCUUCUUGAAUGCUCCUGCAUAUAACAUUCAUCCAGUAUAUUGCAGGUAAUUUGGCAAAAGCUUAUGUGAUUGCAAAGUCUGUCUUUCAAUUCUCUAUUCAACUUAUCAUUAUACAGCUUGACUUACACGUGAAUGUGAUUAUACUCUGAUGCAGUAAUGUUCUUGUUCAAAAUAUGUCGCUCUCUGCUCCUCCACAAUCCCCUUACACCAUCGGUAUAGUCCCAGGUCUGUAGAACUGAGUUAGUUAUAUUUAUGGAAAUAGUGUCAUCUUCCUUUAACUGCCCUUGCAUAUUAGUAGUUAUUCCCUUUUUUUUAAAUGUUGCAUGAUUCAACUCCUAGAGCAUUUGAGGUGCCAAAAUCUGAAGAUCAUAGUUAUCGGUUGGAUUGUUUCAGCUCAUAGUGAUUGGUUGGAUUGUUUCAGCUCAUAUUUGGAUCCCUUUUUGAGGAAUUCCCUAAGGGUCUCAUUUGUCUAAAGUUACAAUCCCCAAACUUUUUGCGGAAUGCAGUUUUCGAAUAAUAACUAGUGGCUGUUUAGCAUUAUUUCACAUCAGCAGACUCCAUUGAAUCAUGACAAGUAAAAUGCACAUUCUGCAUUCUAGGUGGUUUUGAAGCUUCCUCAUUACCGUUCUAAAAGAAAAGCCCUUUGCUCUUUGCUUCUUUGAUAAUUUUUUCUAUGAUCAUUCUAAUUGUUCUAUAGAAUUAUUUAACUAUGCAUUGUGGAAAUGCUCUUCUUAUGCUUUCUAAUUGUAGUAAAUAUUUUCAGAUUCUUCCAAUAACGUUUGCAUAGAGGACAGUAUUAUUGAAAUGGGUUACGAUGCAAUUGCUCUCAAGAGUGGCUGGGAUGAAUACGGCAUUUCCUAUGAUAGAGCUACUAGAGAUGUGCACAUAAGAAGGGUCCACAUUCAAUCAUCUUCAGGCUCUUCUAUUGCUUUUGGUAGUGAGAUGUCUGGUGGCAUUUCUGAUGUGCAUGUGGAGCAGGUCCACCUAUACAACUCAUUUAGUGGGAUUGAGUUUAGAACAACCAAGGGCAGAGGUGGUUAUAUUAAAGGAAUUUAUAUAUCAGAUGUUGAAAUGGAAAAUGUCAACUUAGCAUUUGGUGCCAUUGGCGAUCUUGGGUUACAUCCGGACGACAAUUUUGAUCCUAAUGCUCUUCCAGUUCUUGAUCAAAUCACGUUGCAAAAUGUAACUGGUACAAACAUCACUAUAGCAGGAAAUUUCACUGGAAUUCAAGAAUCUCCCUUCACCUCCAUUUGUCUGUUUAACGUCUCCUUAACGGUUUCAGCAUCCUUCACAACGUCUUGGAUAUGUUCAAGUGUUAUUGGCUUUUCAGAGUCUGUUUUCCCUGAACCAUGCCCUGAACUGAUGAACCCGUACUCAAAUUCCUCAGGUUGCUACUCCCUCCUGAUUUCUGAUGGUAAAUCAGCAAGCUUAUGAUACUAUUCCUUCACACUAAAAUCACAUGGGGUAAAAUAUGGAUUCUUCUACAGUUUACUGUCUCUAAAGUGGGUAAGAUUCUUUCCAAUAAGACCCAUGUCUAGAGGAGUAUUUGUUGGUACCUUGGUUUUGCAUUCUCCCAUGUUGAAAUCUGCAGAUUAAUUAUUUGUACAGCUCCAUUUCUUCAUUCAUGUGUAAGAAAAUUUUUGGUAGUGAUCUGCAAAAAACCACAAGGACUCAGAUUAGCAUUGCUAUUUAUAGUUUAUUCCUUUCUUGUUUAUAAUAAAGUUUGCAGCUGUAAAGUUCCAUUGUCAGAAGAUUUAAUGUUUUUCAGCCUUGUGC
rnacentral:misc_RNA from 1 species